rnacentral:rRNA from 1 species
GACGAACGCUGGCGGCGUGCCUAAUACAUGCAAGUCGAGCGCAGGAAAUCGACGGAACCCUUCGGGGGGAAGUCGACGGAAUGAGCGGCGGACGGGUGAGUAACACGUAAAGAACCUGCCCUCAGGUCUGGGAUAACCACGAGAAAUCGGGGCUAAUACCGGAUGGGUCAUCGGACCGCAUGGUCCGAGGAUGAAAGGCGCUUCGGCGUCGCCUGGGGAUGGCUUUGCGGUGCAUUAGCUAGUUGGUGGGGUAAUGGCCCACCAAGGCGACGAUGCAUAGCCGACCUGGGAGGGUGAUCGGCCACACUGGAACUGAGACACGGCCCAGACUCCUGCGGGAGGCAGCAGUAGGGAAUCUUCCACAAUGGACGAAAGUCUGAUGGAGCAACGCCGCGUGAACGAUGAAGGCCUUCGGGUCGUAAAGUUCUGUUGUAAGGGAAGAACAAGUGCCGCAGGCAAUGGCGGCACCUUGACGGUACCUUGCGAGAAAGCCACGGCUAACUACGUGCCAGCAGCCGCCGUAA